rnacentral:rRNA from 1 species
GGGUUGUGAGGUUAAGCGACUAAGCGUACACGGUGGAUGCCCUGGCAGUCAGAGGCGAUGAAGGGCGUGCUAAUCUGCGAUAAGCGCCGGUAAGGUGAUAUGAACCGUUAUAACCGGCGAUACCCGAAUGGGGAAACCCAGUGUGACUCGUCACACUAUCAUUAACUGAAUCCAUAGGUUAAUGAGGCGAACCGGGGGAACUGAAACAUCUAAGUACCCCGAGGAAAAGAAAUCAACCGAGAUUCCCCCAGUAGCGGCGAGCGAACGGGGAGGAGCCCAGAGCCUGAAUCAGCAUGUGUGUUAGUGGAAGCGUCUGGAAAGGCGCGCGAUACAGGGUGACAGCCCCGUACACAAAAGCGCAUAUGCUGUGAGCUCGAUGAGUAGGGCGGGACACGUGGUAUCCUGUCUGAAUAUGGGGGGACCAUCCUCCAAGGCUAAAUACUCCUGACUGACCGAUAGUGAACCAGUACCGUGAGGGAAAGGCGAAAAGAACCCCGGCGAGGGGAGUGAAAAAGAACCUGAAACCGUGUACGUACAAGCAGUGGGAGCCCCACCACUAAGCCAGUGGUGAACUCCACAUACGCAUCCUUUGCUGAGGAUACGGUUAACGGAGCGAAAGCGACGUUCAACCGCAAAAGAAGCAGAGGGGGCUUAGUGGUGGGGUGACUGCGUACCUUUUGUAUAAUGGGUCAGCGACUUAUAUUCUGUAGCAAGGUUAACCGAAUAGGGGAGCCGGAGGGAAACCGAGUCUUAAUUGGGCGUUAAGUUGCAGGGUAUAGACCCGAAACCCGGUGAUCUAGCCAUGGGCAGGUUGAAGGUUGGGUAACACUAACUGGAGGACCGAACCGACUAAUGUUGAAAAAUUAGCGGAUGACCUGUGGCUGGGGGUGAAAGGCCAAUCAAACCGGGAGAUAGCUGGUUCUCCCCGAAAGCUAUUUAGGUAGCGCCUCGUGAAUUCAUCUCCGGGGGUAGAGCACUGUUUCGGCUAGGGGGCCAUCCCGGCUUACCAACCCGAUGCAAACUGCGAAUACCGGAGAAUGUUAUCACGGGAGACACACGGCGGGUGCUAACGUCCGUCGUGAAGAGGGAAACAACCCAGACCGCCAGCUAAGGUCCCAAAGUCAUGGUUAAGUGGGAAACGAUGUGGGAAGGCCCAGACAGCCAGGAUGUUGGCUUAGAAGCAGCCAUCAUUUAAAGAAAGCGUAAUAGCUCACUGGUCGAGUCGGCCUGCGCGGAAGAUGUAACGGGGCUAAACCAUGCACCGAAGCUGCGGCAGCGACACUCAGGUGUUGUUGGGUAGGGGAGCGUUCUGUAAGCCUGCGAAGGUGGCCUGUGAGGGUUGCUGGAGGUAUCAGAAGUGCGAAUGCUGACAUAAGUAACGAUAAAGCGGGUGAAAAGCCCGCUCGCCGGAAGACCAAGGGUUCCUGUCCAACGUUAAUCGGGGCAGGGUGAGUCGACCCCUAAGGCGAGGCCGAAAGGCGUAGUCGAUGGGAAACGGGUUAAUAUUCCCGUACUUGGUGUUACUGCGAAGGGGGGACGGAGAAGGCUAUGUUGGCCGGGCGACGGUUGUCCCGGUUUAAGCGUGUAGGUGUGUGUUCCAGGUAAAUCCGGUUCACUUUAACACUGAGGCGUGAUGACGAGGCACUACGGUGCUGAAGCAACAAAUGCCCUGCUUCCAGGAAAAGCCUCUAAGCAUCAGGUAACAUCAAAUCGUACCCCAAACCGACACAGGUGGUCAGGUAGAGAAUACCAAGGCGCUUGAGAGAACUCGGGUGAAGGAACUAGGCAAAAUGGUGCCGUAACUUCGGGAGAAGGCACGCUGACACGUAGGUGAAGUGAUUUACUCACGGAGCUGAAGUCAGUCGAAGAUACCAGCUGGCUGCAACUGUUUAUUAAAAACACAGCACUGUGCAAACACGAAAGUGGACGUAUACGGUGUGACGCCUGCCCGGUGCCGGAAGGUUAAUUGAUGGGGUCAGCGCAAGCGAAGCUCCUGAUCGAAGCCCCGGUAAACGGCGGCCGUAACUAUAACGGUCCUAAGGUAGCGAAAUUCCUUGUCGGGUAAGUUCCGACCUGCACGAAUGGCGUAAUGAUGGCCAGGCUGUCUCCACCCGAGACUCAGUGAAAUUGAACUCGCUGUGAAGAUGCAGUGUACCCGCGGCAAGACGGAAAGACCCCGUGAACCUUUACUAUAGCUUGACACUGAACAUUGAGCCUUGAUGUGUAGGAUAGGUGGGAGGCUUUGAAGUGUGGACGCCAGUCUGCAUGGAGCCGGCCUUGAAAUACCACCCUUUAAUGUUUGAUGUUCUAACGUGGACCCGUGAUCCGGGUUGCGGACAGUGUCUGGUGGGUAGUUUGACUGGGGCGGUCUCCUCCUAAAGAGUAACGGAGGAGCACGAAGGUUGGCUAAUCCUGGUCGGACAUCAGGAGGUUAGUGCAAUGGCAUAAGCCAGCUUGACUGCGAGCGUGACGGCGCGAGCAGGUGCGAAAGCAGGUCAUAGUGAUCCGGUGGUUCUGAAUGGAAGGGCCAUCGCUCAACGGAUAAAAGGUACUCCGGGGAUAACAGGCUGAUACCGCCCAAGAGUUCAUAUCGACGGCGGUGUUUGGCACCUCGAUGUCGGCUCAUCACAUCCUGGGGCUGAAGUAGGUCCCAAGGGUAUGGCUGUUCGCCAUUUAAAGUGGUACGCGAGCUGGGUUUAGAACGUCGUGAGACAGUUCGGUCCCUAUCUGCCGUGGGCGCUGGAGAACUGAGGGGGGCUGCUCCUAGUACGAGAGGACCGGAGUGGACGCAUCACUGGUGUUCGGGUUGUCAUGCCAAUGGCACUGCCCGGUAGCUAAAUGCGGAAGAGAUAAGUGCUGAAAGCAUCUAAGCACGAAACUUGCCCCGAGAUGAGUUCUCCCUGAGACUUAGAGUCUCCUGAAGGAACGUUGAAGACGACGACGUUGAUAGGCCGGGUGUGUAAGCGCAGCGAUGCGUUGAGCUAACCGGUACUAAUGAACCGUGAGGCUUAACCUUACAACGCCGAAG